rnacentral:lncRNA from 1 species
CACCCAUCCCAGAAGAGUCAGGCCGGAGAGCCAGCCGGUAGGUGAGGUUGGCGGCGAACCGAGCCGGCAGCGAACUGCUCUGCGGCCGGGGAAGUGGAAGGCAGUCUCCUUCCACGGUCUCCCUCUGAUGCCGAGCCAAGGCUGGACGGUGCUGCUGCCAUCUCGGCUCACUGCAGCCUCCCUGCCUGAUUCUCCUGCCUCAGCCUGCUACGCCUCACUGGUUUUCUUUUUUUUUUUUGGUGGAGACGGGGUUUUGCUGUGUUGGCCGGGCUGGUCUCCAGCUCCUAGCCGCGAGUGAUCCGCCAGCCUCGGCCUCCCGGGGUGCCGGGAUUGCGGACGGAGUCUCGUUCACUCAGUGCUCAGUGGUGCCCAGGCUGGAGUGCAGUGGCGUGAUCUCGGCUCGCUACAGCCUCCACCUCCCAGCCGCCUGCCUUGGCCCCCCAAAGUGCCGAGAUUGCAGCCUCUGCCCAGCCGCCACCCCGUCUGGGAAGUGAGGAGCGUCUCUGCUUGGCCACCCAUCGUCUGG